GACGAACGCUGGCGGCGUGCUUAACACAUGCAAGUCGAACGGAAAGGCCCUGCUUUUGUGGGGUGCUCGAGUGGCGAACGGGUGAGUAACACGUGAGUAACCUGCCCUUGACUUUGGGAUAACUUCAGGAAACUGGGGCUAAUACCGGAUAGGAGCUCCUGCUGCAUGGUGGGGGUUGGAAAGUUUCGGCGGUUGGGGAUGGACUCGCGGCUUAUCAGCUUGUUGGUGGGGUAGUGGCUUACCAAGGCUUUGACGGGCAGCCGGCCUGAGAGGGUGACAGGCCACAUUGGGACUGAGAUACGGCCCAGACUCCUACGGGGGGCAGCAGGGGAGAAUAGUGCACAAUGGGCGGAAGCCAGAUGCAGCAGCGCCGCGUGCGGGAUGACGGUCUUCGGGUUGUAAACCGCUUUCGCCUGUGACGAAGCGUGAGUGACGGUAAUGGGUAAAGAAGCACCGGCUAACUACGUG
rnacentral:rRNA from 1 species